UUGAGUUCAUUGAGUGUGAUUGGACUGCAAUCGUACUGUUGAUCAACGGCGAGUUGCUGCUGCUUCUGGAGUAUGUUUUGCCUCAGUGAAUUGCGGAUUUCAUCUCUCUCCCCCUCUGUGUUGGAAAAUUUUGGACUGAAUCUGUCCUCAAGAUGAGUGGCAAAAGCCUCGGCUUUCUCAGCUGUUGUUUUCGUCCAAGCUACGCGGGAAUUUGCUCCUCGUCCAUUUCCAGCAUCAACACCAGUGUUGCCUGUUAUUGGGAUUUUUAUAGAAUAAUUUGGCUGUACCUGCCGUUUUAAUUUGUUAUUUGAUGAGUGCUUUCUUCAGUUUAUUUUGCGCUGCGUUAUAAAGACGUCUAGCCUCUGGAGUGCGCGUUGCCAAUAGAAUUUGCUUACGAUGCUGUUUAUCCCGUAGAAGACUUCUGGUUGGUUCAUCCAAUUCUAAGUCAUGAUUAUGACGAUAUCUGGAUCUAAGCUGGUUGCUUUGGGGCCUACGUGAUUUUUGUGAUGCAGCGAUUGCUGCCUCAUUUAUGUUGCGUAGAAAUAUAUCGACCGCGUCCUCGAUGUCCAUGCCGGAGCGAAUCUCAGUUUCAAGAUGAAUCUUCUGCUCUAAAAUUUCUUGGAAACGUUUCGUGUCAGCGUUUUUGGAAAGGAGUCGUGGAUUGGUAUUUUGAUUCCCGAAAUCUUGGUUUUUAUUAGCCAGGAGGUCGACUCUCAGAGGCAGGUGAUCUGAAUCUAGAUCCGUACAAGAGUGAAUUUGAAGGCGGGAACUAUCUAUACCACUGAAGACUGCAAAGUCAAUUGCCGAUGGAUUAUUUCUUCUGUUAUAUGGAAAAUGCGUUGCACCGCCCGUGGCCAAAAUGUUGAGGCGUCUGUGUGAUUGUACAGAUGCAUAUAGAGAUUUGCCCCUUUGGCAGCCUCUAGGAUUUCCCCACCACAUGUGACGGGCGUUCCAAUCGCCGCAGAGUAUAAAUUUAGAUUUUACCGCAUGUGUUAGAUUCUCAAAAUGUUUAAAUAGUUUAGAGAAAUGCUCAUGGGUCCAUAUAUAUACAGGGGGGCAAUAUAUCGGCGCGAUUAUAAUAAUUUCUUUUUUAUUAUUAUUAUUUGCAGGCAAUAAGGCUAUAGGCGCACACUGGAGAAAUUCUUCGUUCAAUGGCUGAAGGGCAGUAUGUCGAAUAUCAGAACGCACAAAAAUAGCGACGCCGCCUUUUCUGUGUGUUUCUGGGUGAGAUGCUGUAUACGUUUGAUAGCCGGAUACAUUUAAGACGCUAGAAUUGGCAGGAGUUCGUGUUUCGAUGAUCAUCAUAAUUUGAACGGAUUCUCGCCGCAUGUAUAAUUCAACUUCUGUCAUUUUAUUACGCAGGCCGCACGCAUUCCAAAAUGCAAUUUUAAGAGG